AGCAGCCGCGGUAAUUCCAGCUCCAAUAGCGUAUAUUAAAGUUGUUGCAGUUAAAAAGCUCGUAGUUGAAUUUCGGGGUUAGUAGGUUGGUCAUGCCUCUGGUAUGUACUGGUCUCACUGAUUCCUCCUUCCUGAUGAACCGUAAUGCCAUUAAUUUGGUGUUGCGGGGAAUUUGGACUGUUACUUUGAAAAAAUUAGAGUGUUUAAAGCAAGCUAACGCUUGAAUACAUUAGCAUGGAAUAAUGAAAUAGGACGUUCGAUCCUAUUUUGUUGGUUUCUAGGAUUGACGUAAUGAUUAAUAGGGAUAGUUGGGGGCAUUAGUAUUCAAUUGUCAGAGGUGAAAUUCUUGGAUUUAUUGAAGACUAACUACUGCGAAAGCAUUUGCCAAGGAUGUUUUCAUUAAUCAAGAACGAAUGUUAGGGGAUCGAAGACGAUCAGAUACCGUCGUAGUCUUAACCAUAAACUAUGCCGACUAGGGAUCGGAUGAUGUUAAUUUUUUAAUGACUCA
rnacentral:rRNA from 1 species